CUAGUGGAAUAGCAUAGUUUAAUGAUUCUAGUUGUUUAUAAUCAUGCUAAAAUCAAUUAAAGAUGCAGAAGGCAGAGAGAGGUCAUCAUUAACUUCCACCAGCAGUUCAGCUUCUUCCUUGUUUUAUGAGAUGCAAGAGAGGCUGGAGAACACUGCACAAAAGAGAAAAAGUUCACCGAUGGCCAUUUUAUUCAUUAAUAACUGUUAAUAAACUGUAAUAAUAACCAUAGCAACGACAACACGGAUCAUGCACGGAAUAAAAUUAAAACGGGGAAGUUUCCAAUCCCGGUCUGUGUAGUAUAUCUAUGGUGACUCUCAACCUAUUAAAUAUUAAUUAAUUUAUUUGUUUACUUAAAAACAUAUUUUCCAACAUUGA